AUAGAAUCCAGUUGUUUGCCGAGUUCAGAUUCAAUAUUGAACUUUCUGGCCACCAUUCCAUCAAAACGGUCAGCAAGAGCGGCAACAAAAAUAAGAAGCAAACUUAAAUUUAAGUUGCGAUUUAUUCCUGUAAUAAUCGCAAAACCGCCUAACGCCAAAUUUGUUAACGUUAAAACGUUGGCUGUUUGUGCUUUUAUUUUUUUGAUCGUCUGAUCAAGAACGUCAGAUAAAAACAUUUUUUUCACUCCUUGAUAUAAGAAGGAAGUUAACCUUUUAAUUAUAUUAUAUAAUAAUACUUUAUUUUAAGCUUUUUAUGACUGUACGUAAAGAGUAUUUCAACACAAGUUGGAGGUAAUCUUGUUGAUUUCAAGAAUUUAUCGCUUGUUUAUUGAGCUUACAAACGGAAGAUGGACAUCAAAUCUUUUAAAAAAAUUUGCCGGCUCGAAGGCAAGCCGUUUUAUUGUUCCAUCGUUUGCUAAAGUUUAUCAAAUAAAUGUGCAAGAAAUUGAAAAAGCAUUGAAUGAAUAUCCGACUCUACAUGAUUUCUUUAUCCGUAAAUUAAAAGAAGGAAGCAGGCAAAUUGAUCCGGAUGAUUUGUCAAUUGCAAGCCCGGUUGAUGCUGUAAUCGAAGAUGUCGGCAAUAUUUCAUCUGAAAAAAUGAUUAAAGUGAAGGGUAAGAUCUACUCGAUUUCUGAGAUGCUGGGCAAUAAUGGUUCAUUAAGCAAAUACGUCGAUGGUACUUAUAUGAUUUUUUAUUUAAGCCCGAGUCAUUAUCAUCGCAUCCACAGUCCGGUUACCGGGAAAAUAACGAAUCAAUGGACAC
rnacentral:antisense_RNA from 1 species